UUUUGGACAAUGGGCGCAAGCCUGAUCCAGCCAUUCCGCGUGAGUGAAGAAGGCCUUCGGGUUGUAAAGCUCUUUCCCAAGGGAAGAAAACUUACUUUCUAAUAAAGAGUGAGGUUGACGGUACCUUGAUAAGAAGCACCGGCUAACUACGUGCCAGCAGCCGCGGUAAUACGUAGGGUGCGAGCGUUAAUCGGAAUUACUGGGCGUAAAGCGUGCGCAGGCGGCUUUGUAAGUCAGAUGUGAAAUCCCCGAGCUCAACUUGGGAACUGCGUUUGAAACUACAAGGCUAGAAUAUGUCAGAGGGGGGUAGAAUUCCACGUGUAGCAGUGAAAUGCGUAGAGAUGUGGAGGAAUACCAAUGGCGAAGGCAGCCCCCUGGGGUAAUAUUGACGCUCAUGCACGAGG
rnacentral:rRNA from 1 species